rnacentral:lncRNA from 10 species
GGGGAUUCCUUCCCAUCAUGUCCUGGAAGAGGAAGAAGCCAGGCUAACGUGGGUGGAAGGUUAGAGAGACACCUUCAAGUGACUGCUUUGGAGAUGACCCCAGAUCUGCAGUCAUUUCAGAGACAGAACAAAGGCAGUCCAGAGAGAGAGCUUCUGGGGGCAGCUGCGACCUCACUGGGAUCAACUGGGAUUCUGGGGCCAGUUAAGUCCGUUUUCCACGUUGACUCUUCCAGAACCAGAAAUGUGCACACUGAACCCACUCCUGCUGAAGAAGACUGUGAAGUCGCAGUUGCGGUAGCAGCGGUGGCAGGAUCACUCUCCUUUGGGCAAUUCUGGUGAACCUGCAAGCCCAGCCUCUAACUCUGAGACCAAGCAGCUGAGAGUCACCUAAAACCUACAGUCAGAGUCAGCUAAAAUUUUACAAACGAUGAAGGCACAGCAUAGUGCUGUUUAUUGGAAAUGCGAUAAUAAAA